CAGAGACAUGGAACUUUCAGCAUUCAAUGCAGAAAUUAGGACAGUCCUGAGCCAACAAAGAUUUCCGUCACUUAAGAGACACUCAGUAUUGGCACCAACCUGGAGAUGAGAGAGAGACUUUGGGGUGAGGCAGACAGCACUUCUCCUGAGAAGAGGAUACUGCAUCUGUGACGAGCGAAAGUACUGAGUUCUGUCAAGUUCACAUAAAACGGAAAUUCACAGAAGUCAACACUUCCAAUCAAUGCAAAUGAUCUUGAUGGAGAAAUUGACAAGAUUUACUGAAGGAUGUAUCCAGAUGCCUUCUCUUGUCAGGCCACAGAAUCCCAAAGCUCUGUUAUCUGUCAUUAACUGGGGGACCCAGGAAGUGGUACAGCGGGUAAGGGCAGGAGCAGGAAAAAAAAAAAAAAAAAAAAGUUUAAGACAGGAUAAAAGAGCAAUUU